rnacentral:rRNA from 1 species
GAUUGAACGCUGGCGGCAGGCCUAACACAUGCAAGUCGAGCGGUAGCACAGAGAGCUUGCUCUCGGGUGACGAGCGGCGGACGGGUGAGUAAUGUCUGGGAAACUGCCUGAUGGAGGGGGAUAACUACUGGAAACGGUAGCUAAUACCGCAUAAUGUCGCAAGACCAAAGUGGGGGACCUUCGGGCCUCAUGCCAUCAGAUGUGCCCAGAUGGGAUUAGCUAGUAGGUGGGGUAACGGCUCACCUAGGCGACGAUCCCUAGCUGGUCUGAGAGGAUGACCAGCCACACUGGAACUGAGACACGGUCCAGACUCCUACGGGAGGCAGCAGUGGGGAAUAUUGCACAAUGGGCGCAAGCCUGAUGCAGCCAUGCCGCGUGUGUGAAGAAGGCCUUCGGGUUGUAAAGCACUUUCAGCGGGGAGGAAGGCGGUGAGGUUAAUAACCUCAUCGAUUGACGUUACCCGCAGAAGAAGCACCGGCUAACUCCGUGCCAGCAGCCGCGGUAAUACGGAGGGUGCAAGCGUUAAUCGGAAUUACUGGGCGUAAAGCGCACGCAGGCGGUCUGUCAAGUCGGAUGUGAAAUCCCCGGGCUCAACCUGGGAACUGCAUUCGAAACUGGCAGGCUAGAGUCUUGUAGAGGGGGGUAGAAUUCCAGGUGUAGCGGUGAAAUGCGUAGAGAUCUGGAGGAAUACCGGUGGCGAAGGCGGCCCCCUGGACAAAGACUGACGCUCAGGUGCGAAAGCGUGGGGAGCAAACAGGAUUAGAUACCCUGGUAGUCCACGCCGUAAACGAUGUCGAUUUGGAGGUUGUGCCCUUGAGGCGUGGCUUCCGGAGCUAACGCGUUAAAUCGACCGCCUGGGGAGUACGGCCGCAAGGUUAAAACUCAAAUGAAUUGACGGGGGCCCGCACAAGCGGUGGAGCAUGUGGUUUAAUUCGAUGCAACGCGAAGAACCUUACCUGGUCUUGACAUCCACAGAACUUUCCAGAGAUGGAUUGGUGCCUUCGGGAACUGUGCGACAGGUGCUGCAUGGCUGUCGUCAGCUCGUGUUGUGAAAUGUUGGGUUAAGUCCCGCAACGAGCGCAACCCUUAUCCUUUGUUGCCAGCGGUCCGGCCGGGAACUCAAAGGAGACUGCCAGUGAUAAACUGGAGGAAGGUGGGGAUGACGUCAAGUCAUCAUGGCCCUUACGACCAGGGCUACACACGUGCUACAAUGGCAUAUACAAAGAGAAGCGACCUCGCGAGAGCAAGCGGACCUCAUAAAGUAUGUCGUAGUCCGGAUUGGAGUCUGCAACUCGACUCCAUGAAGUCGGAAUCGCUAGUAAUCGUAGAUCAGAAUGCUACGGUGAAUACGUUCCCGGGCCUUG